CGGCCUUCCCCGGCCGCGCUUCGGCCCCGCCCCUCGGCGCGGCUGCCCUGCGGGCCAGGGAGGGCCGGGAUCCCGGGCCAGCCGGCGCCACCGGCCCGCGGGGAGCUGGCUGAGCUGAGAAGGGUUGGGAACCGAGGGAAGACGGCUUUGUCCGCACUGGGACGCACCGGGGAUGGAGAGCUGGUUUGUGAGUCGCUCAGAGAAAAGAAACCAGUGGUGCGAGCUCUGGUGCCAGGCCUGAAAGCUGUCACCAGUCCCCCACAGUUCUAUCAUAUGGUUCCCUGACCAGGAACAGCAGACGAGAGACUCCUGGGGCUUUCCAAUUUGAGUCCCCUGUCAUUCAGGACCAGGACCGGACUGCAUCCUGCAUUAAUUCCUCACUUCUACCCUUGGGAGCUGUAAACUUGUCACUGCUGGCUCGCAAACAACACUGACCCAAUUUACUACAGGUGAGCAACCCCUGGAGAUUGCCACUGGGCCAGGCCCCAGGUGGGUUUUCUUCCCCUUUCCGUGGGUUCACAUGACAC
rnacentral:lncRNA from 1 species